rnacentral:tRNA from 1 species
GCGGGUAUGAUGGAAUUGGUAGACAUGCGAGAUUUAGGUUCUCGUGGCAGCCGCCGUUGGGGUUCGAGUCCCCAUACCCGCACCA